rnacentral:rRNA from 1 species
CAAGUCGAACGCGAAAGUCCCGCAAGGGGCAAGUAGAGUGGCGAACGGGUGAGUAACGCGUGGGUGACCUGCCUUCGAGUGGGGGAUAACGUUCCGAAAGGGACGCUAAUACCGCAUGACAUCCUGUUUUUGAAGAGAUGGCGAUCAAANCCNGGGAUCGCAAGACCUGGCGCUCGAAGAGGGGCCCGCGUCCGAUUAGCUAGUUGGUGGGGUAAUGGCUCACCAAGGCAACGAUCGGUAGCCGGCCUGAGAGGGCGGACGGCCACACUGGGACUGAGACACGGCCCAGACUCCUACGGGAGGCAGCAGUGGGGAAUUGUUCGCAAUGGGCGCAAGCCUGACGACGCAACGCCGCGUGGAGGAUGAAGAUCUUCGGGUCGUAAACUCCUUUCGAUCGAGACGAACGGCCUCCAGGUGAACAAUCUGGGGGAGUGACGGUACCGAGAGAAGAAGCCCCGGCUAACUCCGUGNCAGCAGCCGCGGUAAUACGGGGGGGGCAAGCGUUGUUCGGAAUUACUGGGCGUAAAGGGCUCGUAGGCGGCCAACUCAGUCACACGUGAAAUCCCUCGGCUUAACCGGGGAACUGCGUGUGAUACUGGAUGGCUUGAGUUUGGGAGAGGGAUGCGGAAUUCCAGGUGUAGCGGUGAAAUGCGUAGAUAUCUGGAGGAACACCGGUGGCGAAGGCGGCAUCCUGGACCAACACUGACGCUGAGGAGCGAAAGCCAGGGGGAGCAAACGGGAUUAGAUACCCCGGUAGUCCUGGCCCUAAACAAUGAAUGCUUGGUGUGGCGGGUAUCGAUCCCUGGCCGUGCCGAAGCUAACGCAUUAAGCA